GACGAACGCUGGCGGCGUGCUUAACACAUGCAAGUCGAACGGUGAAGCGCCUUCCUUUUUGGUGGGUGUGGAUGAGUGGCGAACGGGUGAGUAACACGUGAGUAACCUGCCCCCUUCUUCUGGAUAACCGCAUGAAAGUGUGGCUAAUACGGGAUAUUCUGGGUCUGUCGCAUGAUGGGUCUGGGAAAGAUAUUGUUUCGGUGGGGGAUGGGCUCGCGGCCUAUCAGCUUGUUGGUGGGGUGAUGGCCUACCCAGGCGGUGACGGGUAGCCGGCCUGAGAGGGUGGACGGUCACACUGGGACUGAGACACGGCCCAGACUCCUACGGGAGGCAGCAGUGGGGAAUAUUGCACAAUGGGCGCAAGACUGAUGCAGCGACGCCGCGUGAGGGAUGGAGGCCUUCGGGUUGUGAACCUCUUUCGCCAGUGAAGCAGGCCUGCCUCGUUUGUGGGUGGGUUGACGGUAGCUUGAUAAGAAGCGCCGGCUAACUACGUG
rnacentral:rRNA from 1 species